GAUGAACGCUGGCGGCGUGCCUAAUACAUGCAAGUCGAGCGAACAGACGAGGAGCUUGCUCCUCUGACGUUAGCGGCGGACGGGUGAGUAACACGUGGAUAACCUACCUAUAAGACUGGGAUAACUUCGGGAAAACGGAGCUAAUACCGGAUAAUAUAUUGAUCCGCAUGGUUCAAUAGUGAAAGACGGUUUUGCUGUUACUUAUAGAUGGAUCCGCGCCGCAUUAGCUAGUUGGUAAGGUAACGGCUUACCAAGGCAACGAUGCGUAGCCGACCUGAGAGGGUGAUCGGCCACACUGGAACUGAGACACGGUCCAGACCCCUACGGGAGGCAGCAGUAGGGAAUCUUCCGCAAUGGGCGAAAGCCUGACGGAGCAACGCCGCGUGGGUGAUGAAGGUCUUCGGAUCGUAAAACUCUGUUAUUAGGGAAGAACAAAUGUGUAAGUAACUAUGCACGUCUUGACGGUACCUAAUCAGAAAGCCACGGCUAACUACGUG
rnacentral:rRNA from 1 species